CUACGGGAGGCUCCAGUUAGGGAACUUCUACAAUGCACGCAAGUGUGAUAGAGCAAGCCAGAGUGCUUUCAUAUAAUUUGAAAGCUUUUGUGAGAUGUAAAAAGUCUCACGAAUAAGGACUGGGAAAGACUGGUGCCAGCCGCCGCGGUAAUACCAGCGGUCCAAGUCGCAGCCACAUUUAUUGGGUCUAAAACAUCCGUAGCUUGUUUUGUCAGUCUUCUGUGAAAUCUGGCCCCUCAAGGGUCGGGCGCGCAGGAGAUACUGCAAAACUAGAGACCGGGAGACGUAAGGAGUACGGUUAGGGUAGCGGUAAAAUGCGUUGAUCCUUUCUGGACUAACGAUAGCGAAGGCACCUUACGAGAACGGUUCUGACAGUCAGGGAUGAAGGCUAGGUUCGCAAAACGGAUUAGAUACCCGGGUAGUC
rnacentral:rRNA from 1 species